rnacentral:rRNA from 1 species
GAUGAACGCUGGCGGCGUGCCUAAUACAUGCAAGUCGAGCGAACGGACGAGAAGCUUGCUUCUCUGAUGUUAGCGGCGGACGGGUGAGUAACACGUGGAUAACCUACCUAUAAGACUGGGAUAACUUCGGGAAACCGGAGCUAAUACCGGAUAAUAUUUUGAACCGCAUGGUUCAAAAGUGAAAGACGGUCUUGCUGUCACUUAUAGAUGGAUCCGCGCUGCAUUAGCUAGUUGGUAAGGUAACGGCUUACCAAGGCAACGAUGCAUAGCCGACCUGAGAGGGUGAUCGGCCACACUGGAACUGAGACACGGUCCAGACUCCUACGGGAGGAAGCAGUAGGGAAUCUUACGCAAUGGGCGAAAGCCUGACGGAGCAACGCCGCGUGAGUGAUGAAGGUCUUCGGAUCGUAAAACUCUGUUAUUAGGGAAGAACAUAUGUGUAAGUAACUGUGCACAUCUUGACGGUACCUAAUCAGAAAGCCACGGCUAACUACGUG